UACGUAGGUGACAAGCGUUGUCCGGAUUUACUGGGCGUAAAGAGCGCGCAGGCGGUCGUUCAAGUCGAGUGUGAAAGCCCCCGGCUCAACUGGGGAGGGUCAUUCGAUACUGAUCGACUCGAAGGCAGGAGAGGGAAGUGGAAUUCCCGGUGUAGUGGUGAAAUGCGUAGAGAUCGGGAGGAACACCUGUGGCGAAGGCGGCCCCCUGGGCCGGCCCUGACGCUGAGGAGCGAAAGCGUGGGGAGCAAACAGG
rnacentral:rRNA from 1 species